GUUAGGAAUUUUGCGCAAUGGGGGAAACCCUGACGCAGCAACGCCGCGUGGGUGAGGAAGGCUUUCGGGUUGUAAAGCCCUUUCAGCAGGGAAGAAAAAAAUGACGGUACCUGCAGAAGAAGCACCGGCUAACUCCGUGCCAGCAGCCGCGGUAAUACGGAGGGUGCAAGCGUUAUUCGGAAUUAUUGGGCGUAAAGCGCACGUAGGCGGUUUGGUAAGUCCGAUGUGAAAGCCCACGACUUAAUCGUGGAAGUGCAUUGGAUACUGCCAGACUUGAGUACAGGAGAGGAGAACGGAAUUCCUGGUGGAGAGGUGAAAUUCGUAGAUAUCAGGAGGAACAACGGUGGCGAAGGCGGUUCUCUGGACUGUAACUGACGCUGAGGUGCGAAAGUGUGGGGAGCAAACAGG
rnacentral:rRNA from 1 species